UUACAGAAAAAGAACAUUUUCAAGUGCAGCCAAAUAGCCAUCUACUGAAUGUGCUGGCACCUAAUAAUUCUCUCUUGGCAGAGGACUGAAGUGGGCACUCGGAUAAUGGAAGGUAGCUCAUGAAAUGUGAUAGAGAAAAGAAGGAUGAGAAGAGCAAGAGGUGGCUCUGCAGCCUCUCGGACUUCUGCUUAACCAUGGUGGCCAGGGGUAGGUAGAGGUGAUGGGCUCUUCCUGCAAAGGGAAAGGCCCUCACUCUGAACCGCCUCAGGGUGCCACCAACCUGACCCCAGGAGUCAUGUGUUCCAGGUUUAUCCUUCCUCUCUUUUUAAAGUUGUGCUUGAUAUCAAAUGUCACAUCACAUAGAGAAAGAUCAGCCACAAACAGAGCGCCCCACGCUGUUGCUGCCUGCGAAGGACGAACACCUGAGCAAUGAGACUGUGAGAAGACUCGGGUCUCCACAUUAAGCCAUCAGAUGCCCCCCACAAGGGGCAAGUCACUUUUUUCAAGCCUCACUCAUUCUGGUGUGAGCGGGUACAAUAAAAGCCUCCAUGAGAAUCAGGGUCUGGAAAGUAUC
rnacentral:lncRNA from 1 species